UGCGCAGGCGGUUAUAUAAGUCAGAUGUGAAAUCCCCGGGCGUCAACCUGGGAACGUGCAUUUGUAGACUGUAUGGCUAGAGUGUGUCAGAGGGGGGUAGGAAUUCCACGUGUAGCAGUGAAAUAGCGUAGAUAUGUGGAGGAAUACCGAUGGCGAAGGCAGCCCCCUCGGGAGUAACACUGACGCUCAUGCACGAAAGCGUGGGGAGGCAAACAGGAUUAGAUACCCUGGUAGUCCACGCCCUAAACGAUGUCUACUAGUUGUCGGGACUUAAUUGUCUUGGUAACGCAGCUAACGCGUGAAGUAGACCGCCUGGGGAGUACGGUCGCAAGAUUAAA
rnacentral:rRNA from 1 species